rnacentral:rRNA from 1 species
UACGUAGGGUGCAAGCGUUAAUCGGAAUUACUGGGCGUAAAGCGUGCGCAGGCGGUUCGCUGUGUCCCUGUGUGAAAGCCCCCGGGCUCAACCUGGGAAUUGCAUUUGAGACUGCGUAGCUAGGGUGCGGAAGAGGGAAGCGGAAUUUCCGGUGUAGCGGUGAAAUGCGUAGAUAUCGGAAGGAACACCAGUGGCGAAAGCGGCUUCCCUGGUCCAGCACCGACG